rnacentral:rRNA from 1 species
GACGAACGCUGGCGGCGUGCCUAAUACAUGCAAGUAGAACGCUGAAGAGAGGAGCUUGCUCUUCUUGGAUGAGUUGCGAACGGGUGAGUAACGCGUAGGUAACCUGCCUUGUAGCGGGGGAUAACUAUUGGAAACGAUAGUUAAUACCGCAUAACAAUGGAUGACACAUGUCAUUUAUUUGAAAGGGGCAAUUGCUCCACUACAAGAUGGACCUGCGUUGUAUUAGCUAGUAGGUGAGGUAAUGGCUCACCUAGGCGACGAUACAUAGCCGACCUGAGAGGGUGAUCGGCCACACUGGGACUGAGACACGGCCCAGACUCCUACGGGAGGCAGCAGUAGGGAAUCUUCGGCAAUGGGGGCAACCCUGACCGAGCAACGCCGCGUGAGUGAAGAAGGUUUUCGGAUCGUAAAGCUCUGUUGUAAGUCAAGAACGGGUGUGAGAGUGGAAAGUUCACACUGUGACGGUAGCUUACCGGAAAGGGACGGCUAACUACGUGCCAGCAGCCGCGGUAAUACGUAGGUCCCGAGCGUUGUCCGGAUUUAUUGGGCGUAAAGCGAGCGCAGGCGGUUUGAUAAGUCUGAAGUUAAAGGCUGUGGCUCAACCAUAGUUCGCUUUGGAAACUGUCAAACUUGAGUGCAGAAGGGGAGAGUGGAAUUC